GACGCUACGGACUUAAAUAAUUUGAGCGUUAGUAGAAAAACUUACAUAUUAAGCGAGGAUAAAGAUAGAGUCCAAUUUUACAUGUUAAUCUUAGCAACAAUUUAA
rnacentral:tRNA from 1 species